GCCUAAAGCGUCCGUAGCCGGCUAUGUUAGUUUUCGGUUAAAUCCAUGUGCUUAACACAUGGGCUGUCGAAAAUACUGCAUAGCUAGGGAGUGGGAGAGGUAGACGGUACUCGGGAGGAAGUGGUAAAAUGCUUUGAUCUCUCGAUGACCACCAGUGGCGAAGGCGGUCUACCAGAACACGUCCGACGGUGAGGGAUGAAAGCUGGGGGAGCAAACCGGAUUAGAUACCCGGGUAGUCCCAGCUGUAAACUAUGCAAACUCAGUGAUGCAUUGGCUUGUGGCCAGUGCAGUGCCGCAGAGAAGUCGUUAAGUUUGCCGCCUGGGAAGUACGUACGCAAGUAUGAAACUUAAAGGAAUUGGCGGGGGAGCACCACAAGGGGUGAAGCCUGCGGUUCAAUUGGAGUCAACGCCAGAAAUCUUACCCGGAGAGACAGCAGGAUGAAGGUCAAGCUGAAGACUUUACCAGACAAGCUGAGAAGUGGUGCAUGGCCGUCGCCAGCUCGUGCCGUGAGGUGUCCUGUUAAGUCAGGUAACGAGCGAGAUCCUUGCUUCUAGUUGCCACCAUUACUCUCAGGAGUAGUGGGGCGAAUUAGCGGGACUGCCGCAGUUAAUGCGGAGGAAGGAGAGGGCCACGGCAGGUCAGUAUGCCCCGAA
rnacentral:rRNA from 1 species